GCGGGCACCAACCUAUCGAAGUGGCUGCGUGGGUCCUCGCUGACGCCCAAGGGCCAAUCAGAGGAAGGCGUUGGUGGUCCCACUCUUUGCCAACCGGAUCCUUGCUAAGCGCACCUUCUACAGAGAGGAGAGAACGAGUCAGAUGCGGCUGAAGUUAGAAACAAUGACUGGCACAGGCAGAGCGAUGACCAGGACCCCACUGAGUGAGCAGAUGGAUCCGAAAAUCUUGCCAGCAAUGGUGCUGGGCACCAUGUCUCCGUAUCUGGGGCCAGAGGAGGACCAAUCGGACGCCCUCCACAAAAGACUGGAUCCUCAACU